rnacentral:lncRNA from 1 species
GAAAAGUUAAACAAAUUCGUGAAUUCACAUAUAGAAACACAAACUCAUCUGAUACAUGAUUUUUAGAAAUGUAGUCAUAUUUCAAUUCAAGUAUAUAAAGACAAAUAUAUUCAAAUAUGUAUAGAUUCCAUAAAUUCACGUAUGUAUAAUCUCUACUAUCUUAAAUUCACAUAUACCACACAUACACAUAUAUUUAAGUUGAAUAUUUGAGAAAAAUUUUACCUCAUUGAUGCCAUUAUUUGUAAGGCCAACUCCAGUUGGCAUAUAUGUUCCCAUAACCCCACAAGUUGGCCACACAAUCAUUCUGACCGCUAGCACCUCUGUUUACCCCAAAUUCUUCUUCAUUGUUUGCCCCACAAUCAAUUUGAUCACCGAUGCCUCUGUUUAAACUUCCAAGAAAUGACCAACCUCUACAAACUCAUCCUUCUAGUCACAUUUAGGUCUAUUACAUUUGGUUAAAAAUGAG